rnacentral:rRNA from 1 species
UACGGAGGGUGCAUGCGUUGUUCGGAAUUAUUGGGCGUAAAGGGUAGGUAGGUGGUCAUAAAAGUCUAGGGUGAAAUCCCUGAGCUCAACUCAGGACGUGCCUUGGAAACUUUAUGACUAGAGUACUGGGGAGGUUCGUAGAAUUCCUGGUGUAGCGGUGAAAUGCGUAGAGAUCAGGAGGAAUACCAGAGGCGAAGGCGACGAACUGGACAGUAACUGACACUCAACUACGAAAGCGUGGGGAGCAAACAGG